GCAAAUAGUUCGACUGUCAAAUUUUGCAUCUGUUUUCGAGCCGUCUGAAACAUAGAUUAUGAGUAAACUGAAUAGAAUCUUCUGAAACUUACUUGAUUGGGACGAUUUUGUUUUCGCAUGAUUGUUUCGGAUUUUUUGAAAACAGAA
ensembl:ncRNA B0393.11 ncRNA